UGCUCUUCCGAUGCACUCUGUGAAACAAGAUACAGGCUAGCGGCGGACGGGUGAGUAACACGUGGGUAACCUGCCCAAGAGAUCGGGAUAACACCUGGAAACAGAUGCUAAUACCGGAUAACAACAGAUGAUGCCUAUCAACUGUUUAAAAGAUGGUUCUGCUAUCACUCUUGGAUGGACCUGCGGUGCAUUAGCUAGUUGGUAGGGUAACGGCCUACCAAGGCGAUGAUGCAUAGCCGAGUUGAGAGACUGAUCGGCCACAUUGGGACUGAGACACGGC
rnacentral:rRNA from 1 species